UGCUGGAUGAGGUUUAGUUUUUAGCUCACCUGAGCUGAAAGCUCAAGUGAGCUAUUCUGAUCACAUUUUGUCUGUCGUCCGUCUGUCCGUCCGUCCGUCUGUCCGUCCGUCUGUCCGUCCGUCUGUCCGUCCGUGUUUACGAGAGUGCAUGUAUUGGGUUCUUUUUAUACUUAAUUGGUACUAAUUGGGUACUUUUUUCUUAUUGGGUAUACCCAAGAGGAAGUGUCGCUUAAUCUACUUAAAAUGCCUUAAUUGGGUACAUGAAAGUUAGUACCCAACAAAACUUAGACACUGCGACUUGUCCAGUAAAGUGUCUGAAAAAGUUGCUUCUAUGGACGCACCAUGUAUUCGCUUCUAUAUCAUACUUUCGGAACUCGAAAUUUAGCUAAGCUGCAGUCAUAUUAACUCCCGAGAUUUCCGAAAAGCAACUUCCGUUUAUCUUGUUCUUUCGAGCGUUUGAUUUCACACACAACAACAAUGGCGUCUGCAAGGCAUAGUGAGCACGAGGUCAAGAUCCAAAAAAUGGAUCAACUACCAAAAGAAGAAAAGAUGUGCUAAGAAGAUGCUGUAGCUGUUCUCCUGGAUGGGGGUGUUUAGUGGCCAGCAUGAUCCUUGACGGAAAAAAUGGUAGAGGAAGAAGACAUACAGGAAGAUGAAGAAGAGGAGACAUCACUUCGAGGAAAGAAAACCUUAAUCUACAUGAAUAAAAUGGACGAAGGCUGUACUGGAGGAGGUUAAGGAAUAUUUCAGAGAAUGUCUGAACGCAAACACCACUCUAGAAAGAAUAACUUGCAGUAUGGGGAUAGAGGAAAGCAGAGCUAAUCGAGGUUCCAUACUGUAUAGGCUAUGGGAAACUCUAAAGAAGAAAGUGUGGAGUCUGAUCCCCACAUUUUCAUUUACCUGGACAUUUGAUGAGAAUUUUGUUUGAUCAAGUCAAAUUAUUGCAAGAUUGCAAUUUAUUUAACAGUAUGGUAGUAUGGAAAUACUCGUAGUAUUUUCAUGGAUUUUCUUCAUUUGAUGAGAACUUCUUUUAUUAAAAGAACUGACAGCCAAUUUUUGUAAUUAAGGACUUGAUUCACUUAAGACAUCUUGUGCCUUUUGUCAUAAAUAUAUCUUUAUAUCAAAGCUUAGAUUAAUAUCUUUCUGUGUUUUGAAGAUAAAAAUAAAAGAAAGUGGACACCUCAUUAGUUCUGUAAUUACAUAUACUUCAUGGUAGAAGAAAUGAAGGUUUGUUGACAAAAUAUUUUCAUUAUAAUGCUUGAAUUUUCUUGAACUACGGCCAUGUUGCAAUUAUUUAAGAUCCAUGCUUAGAAAAAUUGCUUUCAUUUGCAUAACAGCCAGGUAGUUGCAAAAUGAUGGUACAUGUACCUUGAGCUAUCAUUAAUUUAUUUUUGUAAAGGUGUCUAGACCAGAUGUGUAGUGUUAGAAUUUCAGUAUUCAAGAAAAUUAAACUAUUUAAUGCUUAUGAAUGCCAAAUAUUUUAGUAUAGUUUCAUUAAGUUUAGAUCUCUUUGAAAAAUAAAAGCGAAAUGUUAUAUUAAAAUC